ACUGUUAUCCAUUCACUCUCUCCCCCUUAUCCGUUCACUCUCCCUCUCUCUCUCUCUCGGCGCGGCGGCAGCGGCGCGUCCCCCUCGCAGCCUGCCCCCCUCUCCUCCUCCUCCUCCUCGUGGCGCCCUCCAAGUCGUCGUCGGCUGUGGCGGCGGCGGCGGCCAAGGUGCGGGAGGAGGGAGAGGUCUCCUCCUGCGCCGACGACGACGAUGUGAGGAGGGCUCCCGACGGCGACGACGGUGACGAGGUGAGGAGGGAGAGGUCUCAUCCGGCAGCAGCAGCAGUGAGGAGGGCUCGAUGGCGUCCAGCGGCGAGGAGGUGUGCAGCGGUGGUGUGGUGCGGCGGCGCUAGGCAGUGCUAGGCGGCGAGGAGGAGGCGAGCGGCGGCGGCAGAUCCAUCCCACGAGAGCGGGCGCGUGUUCGCCGCGGGCCUCAACGACUUUGGGCAGCUCGGGAUAGGCUCCUCCGUGACUCAUCCGCUGGUACUGCUUCUUGUGCAUCAUGCCUCCAUGUGAAAUUUUCAUCUACAUUGUGAGUCAGCCUACUUUUGCACAGGAGGCAAAAGCUGGCUGGACAUAUAUCAGAAUUGCAAUUUUCACUCCUGUAAAGUUUCUUUUGUGUGCAAAUCAUUUUCCAGUGCAACUGCAGGUUCCAAUUUUUGUAGGUGUCAUGUAGAUGAUUCUCAUAUAUGUUCUUCUCAAUAUGAAUUUUCUUGUUCCUGUUCGAUGUCUGCUCUAAUUUUUGAUGAACAACGAUGUCUGAAUCUGAAUAUUUAAACUAGGCAUAUUUUGAGUUA